GACGUAGGGGGCCAGCGUUGCUCGGAAUUACUGGGCGUAAAGGGUCCGUAGGCGGUGCGGUAAGUCGGGAGUGAAAUCUCUGGGCUUAACUCAGAGGCUGCUUCCGAAACUACCGUGCUAGAGUGCGAGAGAGGCAAGUGGAAUUGCGGGUGUAGCGGUGAAAUGCGUAGAUAUCGGGAGGAACACCCGUGGCGAAGGCGGCUCUCUGGAACGCAACUGACGCUGAGACGCGAAAGCGUGGGGAGCAAACAGG
rnacentral:rRNA from 1 species